rnacentral:rRNA from 1 species
UACAGAGGUCCCAAGCGUUGUUCGGAUUCACUGGGCGUAAAGGGUGCGCAGGUGGGUUUGCAAGUUCGAUGUGAAAGCCCCGGGCUUAACCCGGGAAUGGCAUUGGAUACUGCAGAUCUGGAGGAUCGGAGGGGGGACUGGAAUUCUUGGUGUAGCAGUGAAAUGCGUAGAUAUCAAGAGGAACACCAGUGGCGAAGGCGAGUCCCUGGACGAUACCUGACACUGAGGCACGAAAGCCGGGGGAGCAAACGGG